UACUAGAGUAGCACUCGCAUAUCAAUAAGCGGAGGAAAAGAAACUAACAAGGAUUCCCCUAGUAACGGCGAGUGAAGCGGGAAGAGCUCAAAUUUGAAAUCUUAAAGGGUUUCCCUUUACGAAUUGUAGUUUAAAGAAGUGUUUUCUGUUGAGGUUUUGGUAAAAGUUCUUUGGAAUAGGACAUCAUAGAGGGUGAGAAUCCCGUAUUUGACCUUUACUUUCAACUUUGUGAUACACUUUCAAAGAGUCGGAUUGUUUGGGAAUGCAGUCCAAAAUGGGUGGUAAAUUUCAUCUAAAGCUAAAUAUUGGCGAGAGACCGAUAGCGAACAAGUACCGUGAGGGAAAGAUGAAAAGAACUUUGAAAAGAGAGUUAAACAGUACGUGAAAUUGUCAAAAGGGAAGCGUUUGACACCAGUGUUGUUUUUCUGAAAAUCAAUUAAAGAACUGUUUAUGCUAAGUUGUUUAGACUUUAUCAGCUAUCUGUUUAGUUCUGAGCUUUUCUUUAAUGCACUUUUCAGUUAACAAGUCAACAUCAAUUUCUUUUGCUGUAAAAAAGCUUGAGGAAGGUGGCUUGAGAUUCGUCUUAAGUGUUUAUAGCCUCUUGCCUAUGCAGUCGGAGAGAUUGAGGUCUGCAGCGUAGAUCCUUCGGGGCUAAAUGCAUUUGUGCUAAGUUAUAGCAUUUUAUAGACAACUUGUUGACUAUGAUUUGUCUUGUAGCUUACUCGCUUAUGUUAUUUUACCUACGCUUAGGAUGUUGAGCGCAUGUCUCUCUCU
rnacentral:rRNA from 1 species